rnacentral:rRNA from 1 species
UCUUCGGAGUGAGUGGCAGACGGGUGAGUAACGCGUGGGAAUCUACCUAGUGGUGGGGGAUAACUUCGGGAAACCGGAGCUAAUACCCCAUAAGCCCUUCGGGGGAAAGUUUUUCGCCAUUAGAUGAGCCCGCGUUAGAUUAGCUAGUUGGUAGGGUAAUGGCCUACCAAGGCGACGAUCUAUAGCUGGUCUGAGAGGAUGAUCAGCCACACUGGGACUGAGACACGGCCCAGACUCCUACGGGAGGCAGCAGUGGGGAAUAUUGCACAAUGGGCGCAAGCCUGAUGCAGCCAUGCCGCGUGUGUGAUGAAGGCCUUAGGGUUGUAAAACACUUUCAUCGGUGAAGAUAAUGACGGUAGCCGAAGAAGAAGCCCCGGCUAACUCCGUGCCAGCAGCCGCGGUAAUACGGAGGGGGCAAGCGUUGUUCGGAAUUACUGGGCGUAAAGCGCACGUAGGCGGACUGGUCAGUUGGGGGUGAAAUCCCGAGGCUUAACCUCGGAACUGCCUUCAAUACUGCCAGUCUUGAGAUCGGAAGAGGUGAGUGGAAUUCCUAGUGUAGAGGUGAAAUUCGUAGAUAUUAGGAAGAACACCAGUGGCGAAGGCGGCUCACUGGUCCGAUACUGACGCUGAGGUGCGAAAGCGUGGGGAGCGAACAGGAUUAGAUACCCUGGUAGUCCACGCCGUAAACGAUGGAUGCUAGCCGUCGGACAGUAUACUGUUCGGUGGCGCAGUUAACGCAUUAAGCAUCCCGCCUGGGGAGUACGGUCGCAAGAUUAAAACUCAAAGGAAUUGACGGGG